CGUUGUGUCCCCAUUCAUGUUUUGAUUCGCUGCAAACAUGUCGACGGCCUCAAAAGUUACGCUCGGACUUUCGGUUCUCUUCACAACAUCAAUUGUUUAUUAUGUUCAUAGUAAACAGACCCAAGACAGAGAAGAAUUGCGAAUGGGCAUUGUUCGUGACUUAGAGCGACAACAACAGACUGAAGCGGCUAAUAACACAGCUAGUGAACCACAAGAACAAAUUAGUUCUAAAACUGCCUUGUAGCAGUAAAAACAUGAGCAUUUUCAAAGAAUCAGGUUUUUUUGAUGGAGUGUGGAUACUGUGAAUAUUUCUAUUAAUGGAAAUAGUUCAACUAUAUGCCUGUAUAUAAUACUUCAUAAACACUUAGUUAUUAACCUUACUAGCUUUGUCAACAGGCAGUUUUCUUGGUCCUUCCACUGACUAAUUUGUGAUAGACUGCACAUAAGUAUUGCUAAAAAACUAAAUCAGAAAUUAAUUACUAGUAUUACAUAGAAUAACUGUAAAUUUAUUGCAGUGAAAGUUAUUUAGAGCCUCUUUGUCUUUUACUAGUCUAAUUAUUUUAUAUUUAAAGUUUAAAAUGGCUUUGAAACUUGACUUUGCAACUAGCAAACAGUUUGAAUGUCUUUGUCGUUUUAUUAGCUAUAAUAUCACUUAAAAGUUUAUUAAAAAUGUACAUCAUGUAGACAGUGUUAUACAUGUAGCUAAUGGAAGUUGGUUGGGAAGCAUGAAGUGCAUUACUUUCCCAACCUGUAGCAUUUCAUCAUUAGAAAAUGAUCAUUUAAUACACGUCAUAUGACAGAAGACUAGAUCUGUUUUAUGUGUUUCCUAUGAAUAAAGACAGAGCACAUGAA